rnacentral:rRNA from 1 species
UACAGAGGGGGCAAGCGUUGUUCGGAAUUACUGGGCGUAAAGGGCGCGUAGGCGGCCUGCUAAGUCGAACGUGAAAUCCCUGGGCUCAACCCAGGAACUGCGUCCGAUACUGGUUGGCUUGAAUCCGGGAGAGGGACGUGGAAUUCCAGGUGUAGCGGUGAAAUGCGUAGAUAUCUGGAGGAACACCGGUGGCGAAGGCGGCUCACUGGACCGGUAUUGACGCUGAGGUGCGAAAGCGUGGGGAGCAAACAGG